AACGAACGCUGGCGGCAUGCCUAACACAUGCAAGUCGAACGAGACCUUCGGGUCUAGUGGCGCACGGGUGCGUAACGCGUGGGAACCUGCCCUUAGGUUCGGAAUAACUCAGAGAAAUUUGAGCUAAUACCGGAUGAUGUCUUCGGACCAAAGAUUUAUCGCCUUUAGAUGGGCCCGCGUUGGAUUAGCUAGUUGGUGGGGUAAAGGCCUACCAAGGCGACGAUCCAUAGCUGGUCUGAGAGGAUGAUCAGCCACACUGGGACUGAGACACGGCCCAGACUCCUACGGGAGGCAGCAGUGGGGAAUAUUGGACAAUGGGCGAAAGCAUGAUCCAGCAAUGCCGCGUGAGUGAUGAAGGCCUUAGGGUUGUAAAGCUCUUUUACCCGAGAUGAUAAUGACAGUAUCGGGAGAAUAAGCUCCGGCUAACUCCGUG
rnacentral:rRNA from 1 species